UACGGAGGAUCCAAGCGUUAUCCGGAUUUAUUGGGUUUAAAGGGUGCGUAGGCGGGUUUGUAAGUCAGUGGUGAAAGCCUACAGCUUAACUGUAGAAUUGCCAUUGAUACUGCAGAUCUUGAGUAUAGAUGAAGUGGGCGGAAUGUGUUAUGUAGCGGUGAAAUGCUUAGAUAUGACACAGAACACCGAUUGCGUAGGCAGCUCACUAAACUAUAACUGACGCUCAGGCACGAAAGCGUGGGGAUCAAACAGG
rnacentral:misc_RNA from 1 species